UACGAAGGGGGCUAGCGUUGUUCGGAAUUACUGGGCGUAAAGCGCGCGCAGGCGGCCCUUCAAGUCAGGGGUGAAAGCCCGGAGCUCAACUCCGGAAUUGCCUUUGAAACUGUCAGGCUGGAGUACGGGAGAGGUGAGUGGAAUUCCCAGUGUAGAGGUGAAAUUCGUAGAUAUUGGGAAGAACACCGGUGGCGAAGGCGGCUCACUGGCCCGUAACUGACGCUCAAGCGCGACAGCGUGGGGAUCAAACAGGAUUAGAUACCCUGGUAGUCCACGCCGUAAACGAUGGACGCUAGCCGUUGGCAAGCUUGCUUGUCAGUGGCGCAGCUAACGCAUUAAGCGUCCCGCCUGGGGAGUACGGCCGCAAGGUUGAAACUCAAAG
rnacentral:rRNA from 1 species